CGCGGUGAUGCUUCCCUGAUUAGAUCAUUGGAAGUGCGCCGGCCAAACGUGAUUGAAUUUCACGGUGUUUGGACUGUAUCCGUGUUUGGACAUAUAUGAAUUAAACGACCUAGGCUAGUGGUGGCGUAUACAUACGCCUCACUGGGAGCUGUGAUCUUGCUGGGUAGACUGGAUAAUAAACGUAGACAAAGACACAGACUGACACAUUAAGAUAAAGACGGAAUAUUAUAAGACCCGGGACGGAACGUAAGUAAAGUCUAGGAUUAUCUGUCUUGGAUUGUUCACAGUUCUCUUGGAUACUUGAUAUCUGAGCACAAGUCCAAACCAUGGCUGAGGGAGCCAGUUAUAUGUUUGCUACCAAAAAGAGUGCGUAUCACGACACCUGCAUCCCGAGACCUGUAGUGCCUCCACCUGAGUUCACUCCUGGCAAAGCUCAGGGCAAAGAUUUCAGUAAAUUGGACGCUAUCACACAGUCCGUUAUAUGGAAAGAAAAUGUACACGCAGAACAGCGGUGCUUGAAA
rnacentral:sRNA from 1 species